AUUGAACGCUGGCGGCAGGCCUAACACAUGCAAGUCGAACGAGUGGCGGACGGGUGAGUAAUGUCUGGGAAAGUGCCUGAGGGAGAGGGAUCACUACUGGAAACGGUUGCUAAUACCACAUACCAUAGGAUGUGUCCGGAGGGGAUUAGCUAGUGGGUGGGGUAAAGGCUCACCUAGGCGACUAUCCCUAGCUGGUCUGAGAGGAUGAACAGCCACACUGGAACGGAGACACGGUCCAGACUCCUACGGGAGGCAGCAGUGGGGAAUAUUGCACAAUGGGCGAAAGCCUGAUGCAGCCAUGCCGCGUGUAUGAAGAAGGCCUUCGGGUUGUAAAGUACUUUCAGCGGGGAGGCGUUACCCGCAGAAGAAGCACCGGCUAACUCCGUGCCAGCAGCCGCGGUAAUAC
rnacentral:rRNA from 1 species